rnacentral:rRNA from 1 species
ACUCAAAGGAAUUGACGGGGGCCCGCACAAGCGGUGGAGCAUGUGGUUCAAUUCGACGCAACGCGAAGAACCUUACCUGGGCUCGAACGGCUGUGGCCAUUCCUGGAAACAGGGAUUUCCCGCAAGGGACCGCAGCCGAGGUGCUGCAUGGCUGUCGUCAGCUCGUGUCGUGAGAUGUUGGGUUAAGUCCCGCAACGAGCGCAACCCUCGUCCUGUGUUGCUAACCGAAAGGUGCACUCUCAGGAGACCGCCGGCGAUAAGCUGGAGGAAGGUGGGGAUGACGUCAAGUCCUCAUGGCCUUUAUGUCCAGGGCUACACACGUGCUACAAUGGACGGUACAAAGCGCUGCAAACCCGCGAGGGGGAGCUAAUCGCAAAAAACCGUUCUCAGUUCGGAUCGCAGGCUGCAACUCGCCUGCGUGAAGCUGGAAUCGCUAGUAAUGGCGCAUCAGAACGGCGCCGUGAAUACGUUCCCGGGCCUUGCACACACCGCCCGU